UACGAAAGGGGCUAGCGUUGUUCGGAAUUACUAGGCGUAAAGCGCACGUAGGCGGCCUUGUAAGAUGGGGGUGAAAUCCCCGGGCUCAACUCGGGAAUUGCCUUCAUGACUGCAAAGCUCGAGCAUGCGAGAGGAGAAUGGAAUUCCGAGUGUAGAGGUGAAAUUCGUAGAUAUUCGGAAGAACACCAGUGGCGAAGGCGAUUCACUGGCGCAUUUCUGACGCUGAGGUGCGAAAGCGUGGGGAGCAAACAGG
rnacentral:rRNA from 1 species